UAAGGUGCAACUGUGCAUUAACAAAAAACUAAGAGAGAGAGAUAAGAGCGAUCAGGAAAACACUGUGGAUCUAGACUACUUUUACUCGAUGUGUUUCCUAAAAAUUUUGCUCAAUCUCGCGAUAAACUUGGCAAGGCUCUAGAGAUGGGUAGUUGUUCUUUCUUGCCAUAAAGUCUCUCCUUAUUUGCGGUGUCUGUGGUGUUGUUGGUCUCUUUCUUCUACAGCUAGUGGGUGUGUCAUGAUUGUGCAUUAAAUGCACACCCAUUUGCCAGGUCCUUUGCCUUCUACUGUGCGUUGGGAGAGUGGAAAUUGUUUUUGGUUGGAUUUGACAUUCUGUUUGUUCUGGCGAGAUUCUUUGGUUUGCUGCUGCCUCUUCUCUCUUUUCCCUGUUCUGGUUUCGUUGCAAUGUUGCCGGAUAAGCCUCUGUUUCUUUUCUGGUUUAGUUGGCUUAUUAAUCUCUGUCUACAUUGGUAGUUUCUAUGCUUUUCAUGUCAAUUGUUUGUGUGGUUGAUUGGGAGACUUGUGGUAGGGGGGUUUGAUUGUUGUUUUCCUCUUUUUUGGGAUUGGAUCGGCAUGGGUUUGCGAGGGACUAUAUAACUGUUUUGUUUCUAAGGGGUUAUACUCUUAUAAAAAACUAUCCAGCCUCUCUAUUUCUCUUCUUUCUAUGUCCCGCGUCGUUCUACCAUGGUGAUUAAUUUCUUACAUUUCCAGUCUUCACUUUUGCAUUGCUUUCACUGGCUCUUUUGUUUUGUUUAUUAUCUGUUUCAUUUUGGAUUUGUUGAUGCUUUGUUCUUUUAUGAUUUGGUUCUCUCAGGGCUUUGGAUUUUGGCUUGGGAAGGAUUGUUGGCCUUGGUUGGUUGUCUGUGAGGUUGUCCUCUCUAGGUUAUGUUCUUAUUGGGAUUCCAAGCCGUAUACUGUGUUGGGGGCUUUCUUCCGUGUUCUAUUCUUGAGAGGCUCUAGAUUAGAUGCAAUUGUUGAUAGAUGAGCAUUCCAAAAUUUUCCCUUGAAAUAAACACACCUUGGGAUUUUGCAGAGGGUUCCAAGUUCUAGAUGUUGCAUGUUGAGGUUCUCUUUGUCAAGACAUUGAAAAAUAGGUUUCAAGGAAGGGUGUGAAAUCCCAAAGAGGGAAGCACAUGAAUUAUGAUAUAA